GUGUCAGCCGCCGCGGUAAUACGUAGGGUGCGAGCGUUGCCCGGAUUUAUUGGGCGUAAAGGGCGCGCAGGCGGCUACGCACGUCCGUUGUGAAAUCGCUCGGCUCAACUGGGCGGGGUCAGCGGAUACGGCGUAGCUGGAGCAAGCUAGGGGGCAAUGGAAUUCCCGGUGUAGUGGUGGAAUGCGUAGAUAUCGGGAGGAACACCAGUGGCGAAGGCGGUUGCCUGGAGCUUUGCUGACGCUGAGGCGCGAAAGCGUGGGGAGCGAUCCGGAUUAGAUACCCCAGUAGUCC
rnacentral:rRNA from 1 species